CACGUACUCCCUUCGUUCCGAAUUACUCAUCGUAGAAAUGAAUGUAUCUAGAUGUAUUUUAGUUCUAGAUACAUCCAUUUCUGUGACGAGUAAUUUGGAACGGAAGAAGUAGCUG
rfam:Triticum aestivum genome assembly, contig: Triticum_aestivum_CS42_TGACv1_scaffold_376099_5AL